GUUGGUUAUUUUCCGGUUUCUUUCGCAUUAUUACUUCUCCAUUUUCUGUUUCUGCUUUUACUGCUUUUAAUUCAGUUUUCAAUAUUGUGUCUUGAUGUCAUCCAGGAUAAAAUCACGUGAAAUUGGUAUUUGAUUGUCUGUUGUUCAAAUCCCAGUCGCCGAUGUUACAAGCAAAUCCAGGAAAGUCAUCAAUAAUUUAUCGAAUUACGCCAACUUGCAAGCGUCUUAGCCUUCG
rnacentral:lncRNA from 1 species